UACGUAGGGGGCAAGCGUUGUCCGGAUUUAUUGGGCGUAAAGAGCGUGUAGGCGGCCUGACAGGUCUGCUGUGAAAACUCGAGGCUCAACCUCGAGAUGUCGGCGGAAACCGUCUGGCUAGAGUCCGGAAGAGGAGAGUGGAAUUCCUGGUGUAGCGGUGAAAUGCGCAGAUAUCAGGAAGAACACCUAUGGCGAAGGCAGCUCUCUGGGCCGGUACUGACGCUGAGGAGCGAAAGCGUGGGGAGCGAACAGG
rnacentral:rRNA from 1 species